rnacentral:miRNA from 1 species
UGAUGAUGAUGAUGAUGAUGAUGAUGUAGCUGUGGUAGUGUGUGUGAUGGAGGAAGGGAUCAUGCAUUUUCACAAAGAAUUUGGUUGCAUCAUGAUUAUCAUCAUCAUCAUCAU